GUGAUCUCAAUUAAAAAAAUGUAUUUGGUUACAAAACAGAAUUAAAUAUCAGAAACAAUUCUUAAAAAAUAGCAUAGUAAGGUAAAAAUUAUAAGUGAAAUAAUAUACAACACUAUUAAAAUACAUUUGUACAUCUCAAAGACAGGGGAAAUUUUCUGGGAAAAUGUGCUUUUCCAAAAUUGUCUCAAGAGGAAACUUGAAAACUUUAACAGAUGAAUAACCGCAGAAUGAAUUGAAAGGCUUGCCAAGGAAUUAUUCCUAUAAGUAGUGCCAGAUCCACAAAAUUUUAUGGGGGAUUAUUCCAAAAUUUUAAGGAAGAGAUAUUUCCACUGCCGUAUAAACUGAUAAUUGAUUUAAAAAAUAUAUGGAAAGCUUCCUAAUUAAUUUUAUGAAUCCAGUUUAACCCUGAUACUAAAACUUGGCAAAGACAGCAUUAUAAGAAAAAUUAUGAGACAAUCUCAAUUUUGAAUACUUAUCCUAUCAUUGCUUAUUUUUCAGUUUUAGAUAUUAUCUGUUGGCCUCCUGGUUAUGAGGGUGAAGGUUAAACUCUCUUACGUUCCUCCACCACGACAGAGAAUCAUGAACUUCUCUCUUUUUUAAUGGGAUAUAUCACAAUUUUUUAUUAAAUCAAAAUUAGUUUGUGUUAUUAGAUUAGGUAAAUAUCAUUCAGAUCUGAGCUGUGAAAUGUAAUGUGGUUAUAUUUCCUUUGUUCUGUAACUUUAUAUUUUCCUGGAGUUAAUAACUGCCUUAUUUUUCGUUAGCUUGAUUUUUCUGCUUGGGGUUUGCAGAGCUUCGUGAAUCCAUGAGUUGAUGUCUUUCACCACUUCUGGAAAAUUCCAAGCCAUUGUCUCUUUGUACACUGCUUCUGCCCCAUUCUUUCUCCUCUCUUUCUGGAACUCUUAAUUAUACGUAAUUAUAUAUAUAUAAUAUUAUAUAUAUAAUUAUUAAUUAUAGAGUUUUGAGUGUGUUGCGUAUGUCUGUUACUUGUGUCUCUGUUUUUACUCUCUGGGCUUCAGCUUGAGUAUUUUCUAUUAACCUGACUUCCAGUUCGCUACUCCUGUGUUCUGCUGUUGAAGUCACUGAUUGGGUUACUCAUUUCAGAUAUUGAAUAUUAUAGUUAUAGAAUAUCCCUUUGAUGUUUUUAUAAUUUAAAUUACAAUUUUUAAAAGAUUUCAAUUCUCUGGUGAUUUUCUAUCUUUUCAUCCACUUAUUUCAC
rnacentral:lncRNA from 1 species